GUCCUGCAAGACUCAGCUCGUAAUCGCCCUCCUGUGUUCCUUCCUCAGCCGCUGUGGCAUCCCGGUGCUCUCACUUUGUGACACUCACAUCAAGCUGAGAAACUGCCAUCCCUUUUGCCAUCGACAUGGACGCAUAUUUAGGACGUGGAUGAUUUGGACCCAUCUACUGAUGUGAAUGAACUAUUCAUCAGAAGACAUAUGUAAUCAGUGUGAGAAGUAAGAAUAAUCGUGAAGUUUGAGGUUCAGACAGCUCCACAGUAACAACGACAUGGGAGUACUUGUUCAAAUGCCGACUCUGGACUCACGACACACCUAUACGGGGCAGGUUCUGGCACCCUUCAGCUAUCC
ensembl:lncRNA